rnacentral:rRNA from 1 species
UACGUAGGGGGCGAGCGUUGUCCGAAGUUACUGGGCGUAAAGCGCGCGUAGGCGGCUCUUUAAGUCUGAGGUGAAAGGUUCAGCGCUCAACGUGAACAGUGCCUUGGAUACUGGGGAGCUUGAGUGUGGGAGAGGGAAGUGGAAUUCCUGGUGUAGCGGUGAAAUGCGUAGAUAUCAGGAAGAACACCCGUGGCGAAGGCGGCUCUCUGGGACGGUACUGACGCUGAGGAGCGAAAGCCAGGGGAGCAAACGGG